UACGUAGGGAGCAAGCGUUGUUCGGAUUUACUGGGCGUAAAGGGCGCGUAGGCGGCAAUUCAAGUCAUCUGUGAAAUCCCACGGCUUAACUGUGGAACGGCUGGGCAUACUGGCGGUCUUGAGCCAUCUAGGGGCGACUGGAACAAACGGUGGAGCGGUGAAAUGCGUAGAUAUCGUUUGGAACGCCAAUGGUGAAAACAGGUCGCUGGGGAUGCGCUGACGCUGAGACACGAAAGCCAGGGGAGCAAACGGG
rnacentral:rRNA from 1 species